AUUUGCAAAGAUUUUCUCCAAUUCUCUGGGUUGUCCUUUCAUUUUUUAAUGUCCUUUUUUGUGCAAAAGUUAUGAGUUUAAUUAGAUCCAUUGGGUUGUUUUUAUUAUCACUAUCUUAGGAGGUGGAUUAAAGAAGAUAUUGCUGUGAUUAAUGUCAAAGACCAUUCUGCCUAUGUUUUUCCUCUAAGAGUUUUAUAGUACAUGGCCUUAUAUUCAGGUCUUUAAUAUAUUUUGUGUUUAUUUUUGUGUAUGAUGUUAUGGAAUGUUCUAAUAUUCUCUUUUAGAUGUAGCUGGCCAGUUUUUCCAGCACCACUUAUUGAAGAGACUAUAUUUCUUCCACUGUAUAUUCUUGCCUUCUUUGUCAUAAAUUAGUUGACCCUAGGUGGUUGGGUUUAUUUCUUGGCUUUCUAUCCUGUUCCAUUGAUAUAUAUAUUUCUUUUUUGUAACAGUGCCAUAAUUUUUGAUGAAUGUAUCUUUGUAGUAUAGUCUAAAGUCAGGAAAACUGAUUCCUCAAGUUCUGUUUUUGUUUUUGUCUUUGUUUUUGUUUUCAAUAUUGCUUUGGCUGUUCUGGGUCUUUUACAAUAUUUUGUUCUUAGUUCUGUGAAGAAUGACCUUGGUAAUUUGAUAGGGAUUUCACUGAAUCUGUAGAUUGCCUUGGGUAAUACAAUCAUUUUCACAAUAUUGAUUCUUCAAGUCCAAGAGCAUGGUGUAUCUUUCCAUCUGUUUGCAUCAGCUUUUAUUUAUUUCAUCAAGGUCUUAUAAAGAAAUGUUUAAGAAAGAGAUAAAAGGAGUUCCCGUUGUGGCGCAGUGGUUAACGAAUCUGACUAGGAACCAUGAGGUUGCGGGUUCGGUCCCUGCCCUUGCUCAGUGGGUUAGCGAUCCGGCGUUGCCUUGAGCUGUGGUGUAGGUUGCAGACCGUGUUGCGCUCGGAUCCCGUGUUGCUGUGGCUCUGGCGUAGGCCGGUGGCUACAGCUCCGAUUCAACCCCUGGCCUGGGAACCUCCAUAUGCUGCGGGAGCGGCCCAAGAAAUAACAACAACAACAAUAACAACAAAAAGACAAAAAAAAGAAAGAGAUAAAAGAUUAAAGAACAAUCGUAGAAGAAUGAUACAAAAACUGAAAUGAAAAAUACUCCAGAAGGAAUCAAUUGCAGAAAAUGAGGCAGAAGAAUGAAUAAGUGGGCUGGAAGGGAGAGUGAUGGAAAUCACUGCUGCAGAACAGAAUGAAAGAAAAUAAAAAAUAAUAAAAGACAGUCUAAGCGAUCUCAGGGACAAUAUUAAACAUAUUAACAUUCAUAUUAUAGGGGACCCAGAAGGAGAAGAGCGAGAGAAAGGGCAUGAGAAAAUAUUUGAAGUGAUAAUAGAUGAAAACUUCCCUAACACGGGAAAGGAAACACUCACCUAAGUCUAGGAAGUGGAGAGAGUCCCAUAGAGGAUAAGUACAAGGAGGAACACAUUGAAACACAAAUUAAUCAAAUAGACAAAAAUUAAAGACCAAGAGAAAAUAUUUUUAAAAAAACAAGUACUUAGUACAAAUGCCAGAAGAGUACUCUGUAUAGCUCUAAAGUACUAGCCAGGACUGGGAAGUAGGGAAAAGAAGAAAGGAGAAUGUUUCAAACAGGAAAUAAAGUAUUGGCCAGAGGGAUGAGAAGUCCAAAGUGGGAAGGAGACUGAGACCCUUCAACACAGAUGAACAAAAAUAAAAGAGGAAGCAUCUCUGAGGACCAGCUGUUCUCCAGAAUGAACCAUUCCUUCACUGUCCCAUGAGGCCCCUGUCCUGGAUGCCUCCUUGGCCCUCCUUCAGCUCUUCCCCCCAUCAGGGAAGGAAACUAUGAAUCCAAUAGGAUAAAGCCCACAAUGGAGCCUGGUCCUCUUCCACCUUUUACACCAUAUUCCAGAAAACUCAUUGCCCCUAAGCUUCUUGCAGGACUUAUACCAGCUUUUUCCCCAUGUACUGCUACUGGUAUGGUCAGCCCUGGACCCAAGGGGUGACCACAAGGAAGGUGCUAUCCUGGAUAUGAUCAGAGCUUGGACUUGUUUCAAGGUAUCAAUAGGAAUGUACAUGAAGCACCUUGUAAUGCAGGAUGGAGCUGGGAGUGGGGAAAGAAGGUAGAACUAGCUGCAGACCAGCAUGGGGCUAUACCUUCUCAGGCUGCAGGAUUAUGGUGUGGAACUCCAGUGUAUGGAAAUUUUAAAAUAUAAUCUGGUCUUCCAGGUCAUGAUGAAGGUGUACCUAUCAAGAAAAUAUGUUAGACAGAUGAAUGGAUAAAGACAACAAUAUAUAUUUCAGCCAUAAAAAAAGAAAUAUUGCCAUUAUGACAACAUGGAUGAUCUUUAAGGGCAUUCUGCUUAGUGAAAUAAACCAGACUCAGAAAGACAAACACUGUGUGAUCUCACUUGUAUGUGGAAUCCAGAAGAGCCAAAGGUAUAGAAACAGAAAGUAGAUUGGUUGCCAGGGGCUGGGGUGGGGGAAAUGGGGAGAUGUUGGUCAUAAGGGCACAAACUUCCAGUUAUAAGAGGAUUAAAUUUUGGGGAUCUAAUGCGCAGCAUGGUGGCUGACUAUAGUCAACAAUACUGUAUUGUAUACUUAAAAGUUGCCAUAAGAGUAGAUAUUAACUGUUCUCACCAUAAGAACAACAACUAAAUAAUAAUUAUGUGGGUUAAAGAAUGUGUUAAUUAACUUUAUUGUGGUAAAUAUUUUGCAAUAUAUACAUAUUUCAAACACAUUGUACAUCUUAAAUUUUUAUAAUGUUAUAUGUCAAUAAAACUGGGAGAAAAAAUUUUAAAAAAAGAAAAGAAAAUCAAUAAAUAACCCACAAUGGAAUUUCCAUAACCUGUUUCAGCAAAAACUCUGCAGACCAGAAGGGGUGGCAUGAUAUGUUUAAAGUGAUAAAAGUGAAAAACCUACAACCAAGAAUAGUCUACCCAAACAGAGUCUCAUUCCAAUUCCACAAAGCAAUCAAAAUUUUACAGAGAAGCAAAAGCUAAGAAAAUUCAGCACUACAAAACCAGGCUGGAAACAAAUGCUAAAGGAAAUUCUGUAGGCAGAAACCAGAAUAAUAUUAAUGGGAAAGCUUACUUGUAGGCAAACAUUCAGUAAAAUUAGGAAAUUAUCCACACACAAAUAUGAUAUCAAAACCAACAAUCAUGAGAAAAGGACAGUACAAAUGCAUAGUAUUGGAAACAUUUGAAAUUAAGAGACCAGCACCACUCUGGAAGACAGUAUGGAAGUUCUCUAAAAAUAUAGAUCUAGUUCUAAAUAUAGAACUACCAUAUUAGCCUACAAUCCCACUCCUGAACAUGUAUCCAGACAAAACCUUAUUUUGAAAAGAUACAUGCACCCCCCAAUGUACAUUGCAGCAUUAUUUACAAUAGCAGAGACAUGUAAGCCACCUAAAUGUCCAUCAACAGAGGAAUGGAUAAAGAAGAUAUGGUACAUAUAUACAAUGGAAUAUUAUUCAGCCAUAAAAAAUGAAACAGUGUCAUUUCCUAGGGAUUAACAUAGGGAUUAGACCUAUGGGAUAGACCUAGGGAUUAACAUACUGAGUGAAUAAGUCAGAGAGAGAGAGAAAAAUAUCAUAUGAUAUCAAUUAUGUGUGUAAUCUAAUAAAAAUUAUACAGGGAAUCAAGUUUAUAAAACAGAAACAGAUUCAUAGAUUUCAAAAGCAAUCUUAUGGUUACCACAGGGGAAAAUGUGGAGGGGAGGGAGGAAUUGAGAGUGUAGUAAUAACAUAUACACAUUAUAGAAUAGAUUAUUAACAGGUCCCUACAGUAUAGCUCAGGGAGAUAUACUCAAUUGUUUGUAAUAACCUAUAUGGGAAAAAAGAAUGGAUAUAUAAAUGGCCAAUUCACUCUGCUGUACACCUGAAAGUAAUGCAACAUUGUAAGUAAACUAUUCUCUAAUAAAAUGUAUUAAAAAAUAAAAAAAUUAAGAGCUUGGCAACUUAAAACAAUAUUGUAUAUAUACAAACUACUGUAUCAAAACCUCAUCUUAACUGCAAACUGAAAUCUGCAAUAGAUAUUCACACAAACACACACAUAUACAGAGAGAGAGAAAGUAAUCCAAACACAACACUAAGGAUAGUCAUCAAAUCACAAGAGAAUAGAAUGAAAUGGGUGGGAUGGAAGAGACCUACAAAAACAAGUCCUAAACAAUUAACAAAAAGGCAGUAAGACCUGCUAUAUAGCAUAGGGAAUUCUACUCAAUAUACUGUGAUAACCUAUAUGGGAAAAGAAUCUGAAAAAGAGAGGAUAUGUGUGUGUGUAUAACUGAAUCACUUUGUUGUGCAGCAGAAAUUUUCACAUUAUAAAUCAACUGUAUUUCAAUAAAACCUUAAAAAUGAAAGGAAAAAACGCUUUCAUUUAAAUAAUGACAAUGAGAACAUACAUAUCAAUAAUUAUUGUAAAUGGGUCAAUUGCUCCAAUCAAAAUAUACAAACUGGGAGUUACCACCAUGGCUCAGCAGAAAUGAAUCUGACUAGCAUCCAUGAGGAUAUAGGUUUGAUCCGUGGUCUUGCUUGGUGGGUUAAGGAUCCAGCAUUUUCCUGAGGUGUGGUGUAGGUUACAGAUGCAGCUAAGAUCUGGCAUUGCUCUGGCUGUGGCAUAGGCUGGCAGCUACAGCUCCAGUUCUACCUUAGCACAGGAACCUCUGUAUGCUGCAUGUGCAGCCCUAAAAAGAAAAAAAAAAGAUACAUGUACCCAUAUAUUCAUCACAGCACUAUUCACAAUAGCCAAGACAUGGAAACAACCUAAAUGUCCAUUGACAAAUGAAUGGAUUAAGAUAUGGUGUAUAUGCACACAAUGGAAUACUAUUCAGCCAUAAAAAAGAACAAAGCAAAGCCAUUUGCAAGCAACAUGGAUGGAACUAGACAAUCUCAUACUAACUGAUGUAAGUUGGAAAGAGAAAACAAAUACCAUAUGAUAUCACUUAUAUCUGGAAUCUAAUAUAUGGCACAAAUGAACCUAUCUGCAAAAUGAAACAAACUCAUAGACUUGGAGAACAGACUUGUGGUUGCCAGGGGGGGAGACUGGGAUGGACUGGGAGUUUGGGAUUAGUAGAUGCAAAUUAUUGCAUGUGGAGUGGAUAAGCAAUGGGAUCCUGCUGUACAGCACAGAUAACUACAUCUAGUCACUUGUGAUGAGCAUGAUGGAGGAUAAUGUGAGCAAAACAAUGUGUGUGUGUGUGUGUGUGUGUGUAAAACUAGGUUACUUUGAUGUACAGCAGAAACUGACAGAACAUUGUAAAUCAACUAUAAAAGAAAAAGUAAAAAUCUUACAAAAAAUAAAAAUAAUCUGAGUGAAAAGUCAAGUGGUGGAGCUUCCUAUUACUCCUCUUAACAAAACUUUCUUCAGCAAAGAGUUUGGGAUCAAAAAAGAUCAGUUAGAUUAAUCUACCUAAAAAGAUCUCUGAUUAUAAUAUUCUCUGACUCAAAAAUUCUCAGUGCCUUCCCUCCCAGUUACCUUAUGAAUGAAAUCUAUGUUCCCUGGCUUGGGUUUCUGGGCCCUCCAUGAUGUUACUCUUAUUCCAGUGUAUCUUCCACUCUUAAUAUUCCUACACACUUCUUCCUUUUCUCUUCUGUGUCCAAAUUGAUCUACCUGCUUUUCUUUUGAACCCAUCCAAGCCUUCCUAUUUUUGUGACUUUGCUUACACAACUUUAUUCAUUAUGUCAUCCCUUUCAUAUCUACAUGGAAAAACAUAAUCUGUCCAUUAAGAACCUGGUCUAGUGCCCCUUCUUCUGUAAAUGUUUCUUUAAAUUAACAGGUUCUCUGACUAUAACUAUCCAAAACCAAUGUGAAAUCUCUUUCUCCUAUAAAUUCCCACAUCACUUUGUUUGUAUCUCUCUCCUACAUGGAAAGGUUUGAAGAUGCCUAAAAUAGACUCUUGUCCUAAGCUUGAAUUAUACCACUACAUACUCAGCAUUAGAUUUUACACUGCCCUUCCUUAGAAUCUUCUUUUAAAAUAUAAACUCAGAUUUCCCAUUGUGGCACAGUGGAAACAAAUCUGACUAGGAACCAUGAGGUUGUGGGUUCAAUCCCUGGCCACACUCAGUAGGUUAAGGAUCUGGGAUUGCCAUGAGCUUUGGCAUAGGUCACAGACACAGCUUGGACCUGGUAUUGCUGUGGCUGUAGCAUAGGCCAGCAGCUGUAGCUCCAAUUUGACCCCUAGCCUGGGAACCUCCAUAUGCUGUGGGCACAGCCCAAAAUUCACACUCUUUUGCAAGGUAUCAUUUAGUCUCUAUACUCUUAAUGUGAAUUGGCUUUUCAGAUUUCUUCUUCUUCCUAGAGUGAAAGAUGAGUCAUCAUGAAGUAUGGCUUCAUUUAGAUUAGGGAAUAGGUGGUGCUAAAAUGGUAGGCAAGAACAACUAAGAUAUUUAACCAAGGCAUUUAUUUAUCAUAUAUUUAUGCAGUACAAUCUAUGCGUCAGGCAACAAUGGUCCCAGUUUCUGAGCUGGUGGGCCAGAAUUCUAG
rnacentral:lncRNA from 1 species